GCCUGGGUGGCUCAGUCAGUUAAGCGUCUGACUUCGGCUCAGGUCAUGAUCUCACAGUUUGUGGGUUUGAGCCCCACGUCGGGUC
rnacentral:tRNA from 1 species